AAAAAAAUAUGAAAAGAGCAUUUAGUGGAUGCCUUGGCAUUGGAAGGCGAUGAAGGACGUGAUACACUGCGAUAAGCUUCGGGGAGCUGUGAAUAGGCUUCGAUCCGAAGAUUUCCGAAUGGGGAAACCCGUCUCUUUGAGACAUCAUAUGAUGAAUAAAAUAGUUGUAUGAAGCAAACUCAGCGAACUGAAAUAUCUAAGUAGCUGAAGGAAAGGAAAUCACAUAGAUACUCCGUGAGUAGUGACGAGCGAAAAUGGAUCAGGCCAGUAAUUAUGAAUUAAUAACUAAAAUAACAUGGAAAGGUUAGCAAUAAUAGGUGAUAGCCCUGUAUAGGUAAAAAAAUUUGUAAUUCUUGAGUAGGACGGAACACGAGAAAUUUUGUCUGAAUAUAGGGGGACCACUCUCUAAGCCUAAGUACUCUCCAGUGACCGAUAGUGAACUAGUACCGUGAGGGAAAGGUGAAAAGUACCCCGAGAGGGGGGUGAAAUAGAUACUGAAACUGAAUGCUUACAAGCAGUCGGAGCAUUAAUGAUCUUGAUCAUUUUUGUGACGGCGUACCUUUUGUAUAAUGGGUCAGCGACUUAAUGUGUCGAGCGAGCUUAAGCUGUUAAGUGUAGGCGUAGCGAAAGCGAGUCUGAAUAGGGCGUUUUAGUUCGACGGAUUAGACCCGAAACCGAGUGAUCUAACUAUGAACAGAUUGAAGCUAGAGUGAUAUCUAGUGGAGGAUCGAACCCAAUAAUGUUGAAAAAUUAUGGGAUGAUUUGUGGUUAGGGGUGAAAGGCCAAUCAAACUCGGAUAUAGCUGGUUCUCCGCGAAAUCUAUUUAGGUAGAGCGUCAUAUGUUUGAUGUUGAAGGUAGAGCACUAGAUGAGCUAGGGGGUCCUACAGACUUACUAAACUCAACUAAACUCCAAAUGUCAGCAUUUUAAGUAUGGCAGACAGACUAUGGGUGCUAAGAUCCAUGGUCAAGAGGGAAAGAGCCCAGAUCGUCAUUUAAGGUCCCUAAGUUGUAGCUAAGUGUAAAAGGAUGUGAAGAGACCAUAACAGCUAGGAUGUUGGCUUAGAAGCAGUCAUCAUUUAAAGAAAGCGUAACAGCUCACUAGUCUAAAUAAGUUUUUUUGCGCCAAUAAUGUAACGGGGCUAAAGCUACACACCGAAAGUACGAACUUAAAUAUUUUAAGGAAGAGGAUAAUUUUUCUUCUUUGGAAUAUUUAUUUGGUAGCGGAGCGUUCUGUAAAUCUGUGAAGAUGAUUCGUGAGAAUUGUUGGAGAUAUCAGAAGUGAGAAUGCUGACAUGAGUAACAGUAAAGAAUGUGAAAAACAUUCUCGCCGUAAGUCCAAGGUUUCCUGCGUAAAGAUAAUCUGCGCAGGGUUAGUCGGCCCCUAAGGCGAGGCUGAAAGGCGUAGUCGAUGGGAAUCAGGUUAAUAUUCCUGAACCUAGAAAAAAUGACGAAAAUAGUAGGUUGUACUUCCUUAAUGGAUUAGAAGUGCUUCGAAUAUUUUCCAGGAAAUAAUUUUUUCAUUUAACGGACCGUACCCUAAACCGACACAGGUGGACGAGUAGAGUAUACUAAGGCGUUUGAGAUAACAAUAUUGAAGGAACUAGGCAAAUUGCAUCUGUAACUUCGGAAUAAAGAUGACCUAUGUUUGGGUAACCUUUCAUGGGUGGCACAAAAGAGGGGGUAACGACUGUUUAUUAAAAACACAGGACUCUGCUAAGUCAAUAGACGAUGUAUAGGGUCUGACACCUGCCCGGUGCUGGAAGAUUAAAAGGAGAGGUGAGAGCCUUUAAUAUAAGUCCCAGUAAACGGCGGCCGUAACUAUGACGGUCCUAAGGUAGCGAAAUUCAUUGUCGGGUAAGUUCCGACCUGCAUGAAUGGUGUAACGAUUUCCCCGCUGUCUCCAAUAUUGACUCAGUGAAAUUGAAUUCUCCGUUAAGAUGCGGAGUUCCCGCGGUUAGACGGAAAGACCCCGUGAACCUUUACUAUAGCUUUGUAUUGGGAAUAAGAAUUAGAUGUGCAGGAUAGGUGGGAGACUAGGAAAUAUUUACGUCAGUAAGUAUGGAGUCGCCCUUGAGAUACCACCCUUCUGAUUUUUAUUUUCUAACUUGAAUCCUUGAAUCAGGGUUAAGGACAAUGCAUGGUGGGUAGUUUGGCUGGGGCGGUCACCUCCCAAAGAGUAACGGAGGUGUGCGAUGGUUAGCUCAAGUUGGUCAGAAAUCAACUUUUAGAGUGCAAUGGCAAAAGCUAGCCUGACUGUGAGUCUGACAAGACAAGCAGAGACGAAAGUCGGCCAUAGUGAUCCGGUGGUUCCUUGUGGAAGGGCCAUCGCUCAACGGAUAAAAGGUACUCCGGGGAUAACAGGCUAAUGAUUUCCAAGAGUUCAUAUCGACGAAAUCGUUUGGCACCUCGAUGUCGGCUCAUCACAUCCUGGGGCUGAAGAAGGUCCCAAGGGUUUGGCUGUUCGCCAAUUAAAGUGGUACGUGAGCUGGGUUUAGAACGUCGUGAGACAGUUUGGUCCCUAUCUGCCGUGGGUGUAAAGAAGUUUGAGAGGAUCUUCCUUUAGUACGAGAGGACCAAGGUGGACGUAUCCCUGGUGUUCCAGUUGUUGUUCCAACAGCAUUGCUGGGUAGCUAAAUACGGAAAGGAUAAUUGCUGAAUGCAUCUAAGCAAGAAGCCAACCUCAAAACUAGACUUCUCUUGAGAGCCGUGAAAGACUAUCACGUUGAUAGGCCAGGUGUGUAAGUAUGGUAACAUAUUCAGCUAACUGGUACUAAUAGCUCGAUUGAUUUUUUUGA
rnacentral:rRNA from 1 species